rnacentral:rRNA from 1 species
AAUGAACGCUGGCGGCAUGCCUAACACAUGCAAGUCGAACGAAGGCUUCGGCCUUAGUCGUGCACGCGUGCGCAACCCGUUGGAAUCUGCCCCUUGGUCCGGCAUAAAAGUUAGAAAUGACUGCUAAUACCGGCUGAUAACGCAAGUCCAAAGGUUUGUCGCCGAAGGAUGAGCCGGCGUAGGAUCAGCUCGGUGGGGUGCUAAGAGCGCACCAAGGCGACGAUCCUUAGCUGGUCUGGGAGGAAGGGCAGCCACACUGGGACUGAGACACGGUCCAGACUACUGCGGGAGGCAGCAGUGGGUAAUAUUGGACAGUGGGCGAAAGGAUGAACCAGCUAUGCCGCGUGAGUGAUGAAGGCCGGAGGGUUGUAAAGCUCGUUUACCCGGGAUGAUAAUGACGGUACCGGCAGAAUAAGCUCCGGCUAACUCCGUG